rnacentral:rRNA from 1 species
UACGUAGGGGGCAAGCGUUGUCCGGAAUCAUUGGGCGUAAAGAGCGCGUAGGCGGCCCUGUAAGUCCGCUGUGAAAGUCAAGGGCUCAACCCUUGGAUGCCGGUGGAUACUGCAGGGCUAGAGUCCGGAAGAGGCGAGUGGAAUUCCUGGUGUAGCGGUGAAAUGCGUAGAUAUCGGGAGGAACACCUGUGGCGAAAGCGGCUCACUGGACCACAACUGACGCUGAUGCGCGAAAGCUAGGGGAGCAAACAGG